rnacentral:rRNA from 1 species
CAGUAGCCACGGUAAUACGUAGGGUGCGAGCGUUAAUCGGAAUUACUGGGCGUAAAGCGUGCGCAGGCGGUUCGUUAAGACAGAUGUGAAAUCCCCGGGCUUAACCUGGGAACUGCAUUUGUGACUGACGGGCUAGAGUAUGGCAGAGGGGGGUAGAAUUCCACGUGUAGCAGUGAAAUGCGUAGAGAUGUGGAGGAAUACCGAUGGCGAAGGCAGCCCCCUGGGCCAAUACUGACGCUCAUGCACGAAAGCGUGGGGAGCAAACAGGAUUAGAUACCCCCGUAGUCCCUGUCUCUUAUAC